CAGUAGUUUUUUAAUUGAGAACUUGUAUGAAUGGUUUAACGAAAUAUUUUCUGUUUCAUAAAAAUUUAUAUAGAAAUUAAUUUUUUAGUUAAAAAGCUAAAAUAUUAUUAAAAGACGAGAAGACCCUAUAGAAUUUUAUAAAAAUUUUUUUUUAGAUUAAUUAGAUUUUUAUUAUUUAUAAUUUAAUUUUUAUUUUGUUGGGGUGAUAAUAAAAUUUAAAAAACUUUUAUGUAUAUUAUACAAUGAUUUUUGUUUAGUUGAUCCAUUUUUAUUGAUUAUAAGUUUAAAUUACCUUAGGGAUAACAGCGUAAUUUUUUUGGAGAGUUCUUAUCAAUAAAAAAUUUUGC
rnacentral:rRNA from 1 species